GACGAACGCUGGCGGCGUGCUUAACACAUGCAAGUCGAACGGAAAGGCCCUGCUUUUGUGGGGUGCUCGAGUGGCGAACGGGUGAGUAACACGUGAGUAACCUUCCCUUUACUUUGGGAUAACUUCAGGAAACUGGUGCUAAUACCUGCUAGGAGCUCCUGCUGCAUGGUGGGGGUUGGACAGUUUCGGCGGUUGGGGAUGGACUCGCGGCUUAUCAGCUUGUUGGUGGGGUAGUGGCUUACCAAGGCUUUGACGGGUAGCCGGCCUGAGAGGGUGACCGGCCACAUUGGGACUGAGAUACGGCCCAGACGCGUACGGGAGGCAGCAGUGGGGAAUAUUGCACAAUGGGCGGAAGCCUGAUGCAGCAACGCCGCGUGCGGGAUGACGGCCUUCGGGUUGUAAACCGCUUUCGCCUGUGACGAAGCGUGAGUGACGGUAAUGGGUAAAGAAGCACCGGCUAACUACGUG
rnacentral:rRNA from 1 species